CAGUCGAGGGGCAGCAUGGUCUUAGCUUGCUAAGGCUGAUGGCGACCGGCGCACGGGUGAGUAACACGUAUCCAACCUGCCGUCUACUCUUGGCCAGCCUUCUGAAAGGAAGAUUAAUCCAGGAUGGCAUCAUGAGUUCACAUGUCCGCAUGAUUAAAGGUAUUUUCCGGUAGACGAUGGGGAUGCGUUCCAUUAGAUAGUAGGCGGGGUAACGGCCCACCUAGUCAACGAUGGAUAGGGGUUCUGAGAGGAAGGUCCCCCACAUUGGAACUGAGACACGGUCCAAACUCCUACGGGAGGCAGCAGUGAGGAAUAUUGGUCAAUGGGCGAUGGCCUGAACCAGCCAAGUAGCGUGAAGGAUGACUGCCCUAUGGGUUGUAAACUUCUUUUAUAAAGGAAUAAAGUCGGGUAUGCAUACCCGUUUGCAUGUACUUUAUGAAUAAGGAUCGGCUAACUCCGUGCCAGCAGCCGCGGUAAUACGGAGGAUCCGAGCGUUAUCCGGAUUUAUUGGGUUUAAAGGGAGCGUAGAUGGAUGUUUAAGUCAGUUGUGAAAGUUUGCGGCUCAACCGUAAAAUUGCAGUUGAUACUGGAUGUCUUGAGUGCAGUUGAGGCAGGCGGAAUUCGUGGUGUAGCGGUGAAAUGCUUAGAUAUCACGAAGAACUCCGAUUGCGAAGGCAGCCUGCUAAGCUGCAACUGACAUUGAGGCUCGAAAGUGUGGGUAUCAAACAGGAUUA
rnacentral:rRNA from 1 species